UUCUCUCUCUCUCUCUCUCUCUCUCUCUCUCUCUCUCCUUCUCUCUCUAUCUCGAUCUAGCUGUCUCUGUCCUCUUUCUGAAAAAAGAAAUGCAAGGACAAAUUGUAACUCUACUUCUUAUGUGAGUCCAUAGCCUGAAAAUACCUUUAUUAUGUCUUUGCAGUGCCCGAGUAAACAUCCCUUUUAUUCUUGGAUAAGUAUCCAUACCUCCACAAAUACACCCAUAUCAUCUAUCAUGAGAAAAUCCUUCCAGGACUCCCAGGAUGCAUUUUUUUAGCUCCUUAAGCAGCCUUAAUUGCAAGGCUGCUCUAACUAUGAAAGCAUUUGAAUUCAUCCCACAUCAGCUUUUUUUGUAUGUGUAUUCUGUAGUUUGUUUGAUAUUUGUGGUUGAUGUGCUCAAAGCCUAGAUCUACCCGCUCAGAGGAAAAUUCAAACAGAGAUGUUUGCCUAACGGCUGUUCUCUGGGGAAAUAAAGAAGUAUAGGGUUUCAUUUAUAUUGACGACAACACUUUGUGCUAAUUCAAACUCACAACUCAUUUUGCAUGGCUACAAUUAUUAAGCAGGAGAAGCUAUUGCCAGCUGAACAACUUAAACAGGCAUAAUGAAUGAAGAUGAUUUCAAGCCAAACAAAACUGCAAACCUGCCUUCCAUUUGACUCUUGUAUUCUAUGACAUGGUGUGAGAGUGUGAAGCUUUCAGACUGUAGCAAAGCAGUCAUUGUAGAGAAAAAGGGGUUUGUACAUCCUCACCAAUAGAAUACCACAAGGAUUCAAACACCAUGUUGUGAGCCAGUUCUUUAAUCAAGCAAUCUGGCUUUAUGGUAAAUGACGCACCAAGACAGUGAUGGAAAUUGAAGAAAUAUAAGUGUUGUGCAGCUUAGAAAGUAGAAUGGUUGAUCUCUAUAUAUCACUGACCAAAAGAUGAUCGUAAAAAGCUCCAUAGCAUUAGUAAUUUCUAUAUCAAACCAUCUAGAAGUUAUCUCCAGUAAUUUUAAGAAGGGUUGUAUGUGAAAUGUGGAUGAACGGAUUACCUACCAAAUUAUGAAAUCGCCAUGUAAGGUCCUAUGUUAAUGUGACAUGAUUUCCAGUAAAACAUUUAAAACUCAUACAGCCACGGAAGAGUGGAUCUCGGGAGAAUGCCACAAGAAAAGAUGACGUAACCCUGGAAUAACCGAGGGUGAUGUGCGCUGACAAACGCAUAGGUAGCUUAGGCCACGUUUUAAAACUCCCCAACGUGAAAGGCAUCACUAUGUCUUUUUAAGUACAAGUAAGUAUUUGUGAACGCAACAAAUUGUCUAAAUCUGGGAUGUCAUGCGUUCUGUAGCCUACUAAAAGACUGGCAAGUUAAGUUUGUUCGUUUAUAACGGACACAUAAACUGCGAAAAUACAUCGACAGAAACAAACCGUAGAAUACGUACAGGUGGGUAGCGCAUAUGACAAAGAGAUAGCAACAAGUAUUGUAGGGGGCAUUAAUGCCAUUGCGCUCAAAUGUCAUUUCACAAUGAUAAAGGUGACUCGAAGUUGAAUCACUUUGAAGGUUCAAAAGCACAUAAUCGCCUAAAUAUAUCGCCUGUACACAAAACAAUCAUCUUGACAAAAGUGUAGACCUCUGCAAGACUAUGAUACAAUUUUUAUAUCACAUUAAACUCAAUACAGCGGGUGAUCCCCGAUCCUUUAAAGCGUUUAGUCUUUAAGGAAUUAUGUCUUGGUAGUAUUCACGGUCAUAAACGGCGACUUGUGACAUUUUCCAACACUGCACUUGGCGCAUCGCUGGUCCCGUGGAAUGUCCAUAUCUCAAAUGAAAUAUUUGCAAUUUCUUUCAACUUCUGCAAGAACACAUACAACGAACAACGGCGAUAUGCAUACUUGGGCUAUCUGUAGUUUCGAGUAACAGAGCAAUUCCUUCUGUAAGUACCCCUUUCUCUCCCUACUUACCACUGGUUGAUGUCCUACUACAGUCGAGGUCCACGCCGCAGCUCCGCAAACUACUGCAGACUCAGCCGGGCUUGGUAAAAGAGACACGGCAGAGGGCGGACGGGGCAGCCGAAACUCAGCUUGAAAAAGGGGAGAGGGAACCGCUGGUAGACGGAGGGCUACAGACAGCCACAGCACUCUCAAUCUCCACACCCCCCAUCUCUGAUGAAGAAGUCGCUUGGUCUGCCUCUGUGAAACACAGUUCAAAUACCGUGAGCUGCACUUUUUCUCCAUAGUCUACACGCCCCCUUCCAUCCUUUCCAUGCCCUCGUGAUCCGUUAGAUUUUCUCUUUAUUACAGUCAACACCCAUUCUGAAUCUUCUAAUGUGUUUAACUUCCAGUUCCAUUCACGCGCCAGCUCUUUUCUCUUACUGUGUACAAAAAGAUUCCUUCAGCAAGCCACCACCAUCGCAAUUUUUUCACAAUCACAGACCAUCAGCAAUCUUGAAGUGUUAGUUACGGUGUACAACAUGGGGCGGACAGCGCCACUGUUUGCAGGACCCUGGACAGCGCCAUUUCAAACAGCGAGACGAGGAAAGUGAAAGCCCAUCAGCGGGAACAAGAGAUAAGGAUAUUCUUAGAUAUGCGACACACACACACACACACACAGGCAUACACAAACACUCUGGCCAGGAGGUUGUUAGGUAGUAUUCCUCAUUUAUCAGUGUCUAAUAAUAAAACGCACAUCUCCAGUGCAUAUUCACAAAUCGUGGGAAAAUAUAUCCUAAGAGGCUUGUAGCUAUCCUUGAUGCACAUUAAUCUAAUCUUUUUUCCUAUCUUUGCAGGAAUUUAGGAGCCCCUACUGCUGGCCUACUCAUGUGGCAUUGUAACCACAUCACCCAGACUGCAGCCGCUACACCGACCACUUUGUUCCUUUCUUUGCCUAGUUAAUCUGCUCCUGUUUUCAGGGAUCUUCUUUCUGAGGGGUUAUGAAUUUUCUCGGGCAGUCCACUGAAAGUGCGCAAGAGGGAAGCCCCGUUAAUAGCAGCGAUGUCGAGAUGUGUGUAUUAGAGGGACCUUGUAAGACAUACAUUUGAGACAUGAAAUGCAACCCAUUCAUCAAGAUGACACACAGGCAAAUUGUUGCCAGAGAGGGCUAUUCCUCAAGCUGUUGGGCAAGCAGUCGAAACACAGACAGCGCAGAAAGAGCCUGCAGGGUAUUUUUCUUUUAUUUGGAUCCCAAUAGUCAUUCAUUUGGUAAACCAUUCAUUUUCCACCAGGCCUUUUCAAAAAGCUUCUUCUUGUGUCAGAUACGCAGGUAUUGUAUUUCUCCAUCUUUGAUGUGAUUUUCCGUGCAAUGUGUGCAUUGUUUAGAAUCAACAGCAGGUGGUCGGGGGGAGCAGGUGCAAUGCUGAUUGAAAUGAAACAGACAUGGGGAUUAGAUCACAUCUGUAAAAUGGGGCAGAGACAUGCUUCUGGAGAACAACUAGCCUAAUGGAAACCUCACGUUACCAACCUUUGACCCUCUCUUUGUCUGAUGUAUGUAAGAAGAGCCAUUUAUCACUGUCUCAAUUGCUAAAUAGGUCUCAGGUAACAAUGGAUGUGAAUACAUCUGCUCCUUGAACCUCUAUCCUGACUUGAACCCUAUACGGUAUACCUUAAUGAUAUAUACCUGUGUAUAUACCUGUCUGAGUAUACAAAUGCUGUGAGAAGUUGUGUGUUUCUUUAACUUGCCCUUAACUUACACCAAAUCCUUUUUUAAAUGCCUCUUGGAUCAGGAAGGCUUUUGUGGAGAUCAGAUGUUGUAUUAAGUAUUAUUGCUUGCUACUAACUGCUAUUGAUUGGUUGAAGCUUAAUGUGCGCCAGACGAGCAGGUUAUUGGUGUCAGAUAAGAAUUACUGGGAAACUGCACUUUAAGUUUACUUAAGUUCUUCUAUUUGUCACACACACUAGGAACAGUGAGCAGUGAAAUUCAGCCUGUGCAUUUGACCUACCCUACACUAUGAACAGUGGGCAGUGAGCACACAAACACUAGGAGUAGGGGGCAGUGAACACACACUAGGAACAGGGAGCAGAGAGCACACACACACACACACACACACACACACACUAGGAGUAGGAGGCAUUGAGCACACACACACACACACACACUAGGAGCAGUGAGCACACACACACACACACUAGGAG
ensembl:lncRNA